rnacentral:rRNA from 1 species
CGAACGAUGAGAGGGAGCUUGCUCCCUGGAUUAGUGGCGAACGGGUGAGUAACACGUGAGUAACCUGCCCUUGACUCUGGGAUAAGCACUGGAAACGGUGUCUAAUACCGGAUACGAACUUCAGCCGCAUGGCUAGGAGUUGGAAAGAAUUUCGGUCAAGGAUGGACUCGCGGCCUAUCAGCUAGUUGGUAAGGUAAUGGCCCACCAAGGCGACGACGGGUAGCCGGCCUGAGAGGGUGACCGGCCACACUGGGACUGAGACACGGCCCAGACUCCUACGGGAGGCAGCAGUGGGGAAUAUUGCACAAUGGGCGCAAGCCUGAUGCAGCAACGCCGCGUGAGGGACGACGGCCUUCGGGUUGUAAACCUCUUUUAGUAGGGAAGAAGCGAAAGUGACGGUAUCUGCAGAAAAAGCACCGGCUAACUACGUGCCAGCAGCCGCGGUAAUACGUAGGGUGCAAGCGUUAUCCGGAAUUAUUGGGCGUAAAGAGCUCGUAGGCGGUUUGUCGCGUCUGCUGUGAAAACUGGGGGCUCAACCCCCAGCCUGCAGUGGGUACGGGCAGACUAGAGUGCGGUAGGGGAGAUUGGAAUUCCUGGUGUAGCGGUGGAAUGCGCAGAUAUCAGGAGGAACACCAAUGGCGAAGGCAGAUCUCUGGGCCGUAACUGACGCUGAGGAGCGAAAGCAUGGGGAGCGAACAGGA